UGUGGGGCUAGGCCGGGCUGGUUGGCGCAGCUUGUAACCCGAAAUCGUCAUUAUGCGGGGGUUCGAAAAGCCCUUGAGGAGGCGGCUUACCGGGAGGGCCUUUCGGUUCAACGGAGAUGCUUGGCCCUGUCUGGCGGUUGCCUGUGUGAAUCCCCCAGGUUCGGAAGGAAGCAAGGGUAAGCAUGGACAAUUGUGCAUGCAGGAUUACUGAGCGGAGGAGAACUGGAAGACAAACCCUUUCGGUAUCUGCUUUCGAUAGGGAAGCGCUCCACA
rnacentral:SRP_RNA from 1 species